UCUCUGGAAACGGGGACGUAAUACCGGAUAGGUAAUCGGAAGGGCAUCUUCUGGUUAUUAAAGGUUAAAAAACAACUGGUGGAUGGGCUUAUGGCGCAUUAGUUAGUUGGUGAGGUAACGGCCCACCAAGACGAUGAUGCGUAGCCGGCCUGAGAGGGUGAACGGCCACAUUGGGACUGAGACACGGCCCAGACUCCUACGGGAGGCAGCAGCU
rnacentral:rRNA from 1 species